UUUUAAAACUUCUCUGGUUUAUAUUUGUCACAUUAUUUAUUUGGCAUGAUCAUUUAUUACUGGUACACACAUAUAUUUUUCUACCCCAAAAUAUUAUUAAGAGGUUUAUAAAGGCAGGAGUGCUUUGUGUUCUUCACUCAAUGACCCAAUUAGUAUCAUUUAAUUACCCAGAUGAAUGAAUUGACGGGUUUCUGUAGAGAUUGUUUCAUUAAUAUCCCAGCAUGGACAUCAUGACUAUCAGAUUGUUCUUUAGUCCCUAAGUUUAGAGUCCUGUCUAUAUUAGUUAGAUCAGGCUACCAUAACAAAAAUACCAUAGACCACUUGGCCUAAGCAAGGGAAAUUUAUUUUCUUAUAGUUCUGGAGACAAGUCCCAGAUUUCUGGUAAGGGCUUUUUUCUUGGCUUGUGGAAGGCUACUUUGCCAUCAUAUGGCCUUUCCUCUGAGACAGCUUGGAGAGGGUCUAGAUUCCCCUACCCCCUUCCUUUAAGUACUGAAACCAGUAUUACAGCACCUUCAUGGCUGAAGAAAGGCCAGAUUCCAAUUAAAUAUGCCCAACUGUGACAUAGUGACAUUUUCAGCUUGAUCUGAUAAGAUGAUCAUGAUCUUGAUAUAGCAUAAAUGUGUGAGCCAUUUCAUGUGUAAUUCUUUAUAGACAGCUUGGUUCCUCACCGACGUCUCUUCUUGGAGUUGUACCUGAUUUUAUUACCAGUUUUUAUCAGAAUUCAUUGGGGGAUGAUUUUGCUUUUGUUUCUUGACCAAGAAUUGCUUGAUGCUGAAAGUCUUCUUAGAAUACACAGUGAGGAACAGAAUCAAGUACAUGCAUUGCAAAGUGGUUUCUCUUCCUAUAAGGGCAUUAAUCCCAUUAGUGCAGGGUUCUACUUUCAUGACCUCAUUUAACCUUAAUUGGCCCUUCUCCAAAUAUAACCACACUGGGGGUAAGGGUAUGAAUUUGGAUUGAGAGGACAUAAACAUUCAGCCCACAACAUUCAAUUUUCUAGAAAUUUAUGAUAUGGAUUUGACAACUGUUAAAGGAAAUUUGGAUUGUUCCUAGAGACAUUUAUAAAUUCCAAGAGAGAGGGAAGGAAUAAAUGCUAACUAAAUGAAUUAAUAAAAUAAACAAUGAUCUGCUAUCCUUUUAACUCUGACUAGAAACCAUUUCGAGAAUACUGUAUGCUUUGUUUUGGUUUCAUUUGGUGGAAGGAUGCAUAACCUGAAAUGGAUUGACUGGAUAUUGGAGCCCUUAGCUCUUUGUAGAAGAGAAUAAAAUGAGAACAAGAAAAAUUUCCCUAAUUAGUCAUUCUUUCAACAUGUACUUGCCGCAGUCUGGCUGGGCACAAUCAGGAGCCAC
rnacentral:lncRNA from 1 species